GGGAGAGGUGCAUUGUGCGGAGGGGGUGUACAGAUGUGGGGAGAGGUGCAUUGUGCGGAGGGGGUGUAUAGAUAUGGGGAGAGGUGCAUCGUGCGGAGGGGGUGUAUAGCAAUGGGGAGAGGUGCAUUGUGCGGAGGGGGUGUAUAGAUAUGGGGAGAGGUGCAUUGUGCAGAGGGGGUGUAUAGAUAUGGGGAGAGGUGCAUUGUGCAGAGGGGGUGUAUAGAUAUGGGGAGAGGUGCAUUGUGCGGAGGGGGUGUAUAGAUAUGGGGAGAGGUGCAUUGUGCGGAGGGAGUG